CCGUCAGUGAUGAAAGUUGAUUUGAAAGUGUGAGCCAAUUAGACCCUUUCCUCCCCAAGUUGCUUUGAUCAUGGUGUUUCAUAAUAGCAAUGAUAACCCUGACUAGGACAGAGAUUGGUACCAGCAUAGUGGGGAUUUGCUAUGACGGACAUGACCAUACUGUUUCGGGUAGGGCUGUGGAAGGACUUUGGAACUUUGGGCUGGAAAAGCCACUAAAUGUAGAGAGAGCUCAGUGGGCUGUUCUGUAGGAGCUUUGAAGGUAAGAACGUUGAGAACAAUAUGGGUGAGGGAGGCCUGGCACAUUCCAUUUCAGAGGGAAGCAAAGACUCCACCAGCUAUUUGCGUAAAUUUUCUGUGGCAGUCUUGCCAGCUGGGGCUGAGAAUCAGCUGUGAAACAAGGGACCAGAACUGCUAAAGUAGACUUUGUUUUGCUGGGACAAUGGAUGCUGGUCAGCUGGGGGCUGAAGAAUUGGCAUCACCGAGGUGACAUCUUCCGGGAAGCGUUUCCUCAGAGUCAGAACUGUAUUCAGAGGUGACCAAGGUUGUACCUUGUGCUGGCAGCUGAACUUGGUCCUGAGUAAGAGCCAUGCAGGUGGUACUGGUUUUGAAGGUGGGGGUCACGGAGAGCAGCUGAGGCUUGGCCCUAUGCGAGACCGGGAGAGGCCAUUGGUGAAGGUGCAGCUGGGGUAACAGUGGAAACCUCAGGACUGAAGGGGUCAUGGAGAGAAGUUGGGGCUCUGCCUCAUGAAGAGAGCCCAGGAGAGGCUACUGGUGAAAAUGCAGCCCAGCUGCAGCAGAGACCCCAGAUGUUUGGAGACGCCAGUACCAUGGGAUGACCACCAAGAACAGCAGCAGCAGAGGAGUGGAGCCAGCAGAGCCUGGAAGACAGCGGAGGGCGGAGCUGGAGCUUGGAGGAGCCCAGAAGAUCGUGAGUGGUUCCUGUCCCGCUUGAGUUCCUGUCCCGACUGCCUUCAGUGAUCAACAAUGAUUCAGAAGUUCAGCAGGAACAUGGACCAUGGCAACAGCACAGACCUCGAACACAGCCCCUGGCUACAGUAAGACCACAGACUCAGACAAGGCCCUCAGAGGCAGCCAGGACCACAUAUGUCACUCAGCUUGGCCUCAGGUGGCUUUGUAGGCCACUCACAUCAAUAUGGCCCCCAGAGGCAGCAAGGUGCUCGGACAUCAACAAUGGCUUUCAAUGGCAGCCCAGACCAUGGACGUCUGCAAGGCCUCCGGUGGCAACAUGGACCAUGGACAUCAACACAGACACUGGCUGCAGUAGGAACACGGACCCACACAUAGCCCUGGGCAACAGCACCGGUAUGGACAUCACCAUGACCUCAGAUGGCAGCCCAGGCUGCUCACACCAGGCUGGUCCUCACCACCACCACAUCCCCGGUUCCGCCUCUCUUCACAGGGCACACACCGCUCUGCUGCUUUUAUCUCUUGCUUAUCACAGCAGCAUCUACUACCUGUGCCACAAGGUGGGUGGACUGACUGUCUUCUACCAAACUCCUCCUCCUCUAAGCUGCUUCUCAUCGUGGUGUUUUAAUGCAGCAACAGAAAGUAACUAAUACAGAUAUGAACACUAGCAUCCAUCUACUUAGGCGAUUUUUGUCAAUUUAGGGAGCCGCCCCAUUUUCCCUAUGUAACUACGAAAGGAGAAAACCCCAGAAACUGCAGCAGCCAUUUCUGAGACCCCAGAGUCUGUAGCCGGAGGACCAAAGCUCACACGCUGAGGAAGGCAGGGUAGACAGCUGGAGGGUCGCAGCCUGGCAGGACCAUCUUGGACUCCGAGUUUCUGGCCAUGCAACCACCUUGCCUCAAGUCUCCUUGCAGAGUGAAGAAGUAGAUUCCGAGCUGUGGAACUCACUCACCCAGGUGCCCUUCUGACUUGCUGCUGAAUGUAUCCCCAACAAUUGUUUCCUGGCCUACCUCUUCUUCCUCGUGAAGGUCCCUGCGUAUUAGCUACUUUCCUCGUGGUUUCCCCUCCAGAAGGUCACCUGCGUAUUAGCUACUUUCCUGUUGCUGUGACAAUCACCAUGACCAAAGUGACUUAUGGACGGAAAACUUGAUGUUGGCUCAGUGUUCCAGAGGAGUGAGUCCGCCCCGGCUGGAAGGUGUGGCACCAAGCAGCAGGCCUGGCAGUCAGGGCAGUAAUCUGAGAGAGAGCUCAUGUCUUCCACUGCAGGCUCAAAGCAGAGAUCCAAGCAGAAGUAGUGCAAGGCUUUUUACUCUUGAAGCUCUAGGGAUGCAUUUUCUCCAGUAAGGCAACAACAAACUGGGGACAAAGUGUUCAAGUGCAGAAGACAGUGGGGGACAGUUCUCAUCCAAGCUGCCUCAGCGGCUUUCAUUCUAGCUCUUCAGAAUGUUUCCAGCUUCGUAGCCUUUUCAGGUGACAUUCUUUACCUGCUGCGCUGCCCUCCCCAUUCCAUCCCGUGUGACUUUAACUCUCAGCUGAGGCUCACCCUACAGGCAGGCGAGCCUCUGCCCUGAGCACUCGUGGCUUACCUUUGCCUUCCCACAGUGGCCAUGGAUUCUGGUGAGUGUCUGCUUUCCUCAUCAGACCAUGCCCCGGGAGAACAGGAGUCAUCCAUCUUACUCGGUGUCCUCAUUAUGUCCUCGUGCGGUGUAGAUUAUUAUCCGAAAAUAUUUUUGCCCUGGAACAACGGUAUGCAAGCACUAGAAACCCUAGAGACCCGACACUGGAGGCUGUGUCCCGGUCCUCUGUGUCCCGGUCCGUUGUGUCCUGGUCUGCUGUGUCCUGGUCCCGCCUCUGCCGCACAAACACCUCGUGCGGCAGUUUUCUGAGCUGAAGAACAGAGAGCAAUGGCACUCCGUCCUGUACGUGUAAACCUCCAGAGAACUGUCGUGAAGUUUUCCUGAGGAGACAUAUAAAACAGCUGUGUACUUGGUAUGAGUUUCAUUUCUGUUGCAGUGAUAAAACACCCUGAACAAAAGCAACAUGGGGGAGCAAAGGGUCAACGUGUUUACAGUUCCAGAUUGUAGUUUGACACAUAUAUACAUAUAUAUGUAUAUACACACACAUAUACAUACAUGCACAUGCAUACAUAUACAUACAUACACACAUACAUACAUGCACACAC